GCAAAACGCAGAACUGAAUGGUGGCAAUGGAUGUGUUAAGAGGGUAGAGAAGAAUAACAGGCAAUUCUCCUAAGGCAGUAAUGUUGUGUGCAUUUGCAUGCAUGAGUGCCAAUUCCUGCCAAAGGAGAAUUGUCCUGCCAUUCUACUACUACUACAUUUGUUCCAUUUCACUACUUAAUUUCCCAUGCACCAGCACUACGUUCUUUCUUGAUUUGUAUGUCAAAGAGGGUGUAGAAGUAGUGAUGAGCUAAUUGGAGAAAGUCCACACAAGAGCUUCAUACAAAAGAAAACUGUUUGUGGUAAAUACUUCAUAAUGGCAAAAGUAUUCUGUAUUUCUGUUACUCCAUCCAUAAUAGAAGUACUAGGAGUUGGAGGUCCCUUUAUGCAAGGUCUUUUCAAGCUUAUGGCUAUUAUUAAUUAUUCAAUAUAGAGGGAAUUGUCCUAGGUUUUUCAA